GUGAAUUUUGCCCAAACCUGGGUGGAAACUGCAGGAAGGAGAUGUGAAAAUGGCUGAAGGUUAAGCAUGGCACAAGAGGAGUUUGAUAAUCAAAAAUCAGAAAUGAUGCUGCCUCACUGAGCAGGCAUCCCAUGCAGGUGGAAUAAACUUUUGCCAGUCCUGGAGAGAAAGCUGCAUGGAGAGGAGGGAGAUGGACCAUGGGGCCAGCACUGGGGCCAGCAUGUUAAAAACAAACAUGCCCCGGUUCAGAGCAGCCAGGGGUGAAGGGGUUUGAGCUCUGCCUUCCCCAGGCUCCAAAUCCUCCCCUGAGCAGCUUUAACCCUGCCCAGAGCUCUGCUGGCCCUCAAUUCCUCACCCAGGCAUUGAAAGGAGAGCACAGAAACCCACCCGACCCCAUCCUCCCCCAGUGCAGACUCGGCAUGGCCUUGGCUCAGGGCUCCACGCUCUGAAUUUUCCCUUUUUGUGCCAUUUUCCCCUUUGGGAGGUGCUGCUGGCGAGCCUGGCUGGGAGCACCAUGGGAGGCAGGUGAGGAGCUGCUCUGAGCACUCAGAUCUUGCCAGCAAGAACUACAAGUGUUUGCUCCAGGAAGAAUUUAUGUAUAAAUUCAGCAUUAAAUCUGGAGGCUACACUAGUGAGUAGCUACCACUAGUGUCUACUGUUAGUAAAUACUAAUAAUGUCCAGAAAACUCACAUCAGUACCAUGGAGAGGAAAAUGCAGGCAGCCCAAAAUUGCUUCAGGAACUCUUUAACAGCUCCACCCAGACCAGCUUCAUUCACUUUGGUUUGGGUCCUCUGAGAAAAUCCACUCUGUGACAAAGUUUCUUC